GAGAGGGGAUUCUGGACAUUAUAUAGUCCGAAGAAGUGACUUCUCAUAAACCAUGCUGGAGAGGGAAUUCUGGGCAUUAUAGUCCCAAGAAGUGGCUUCUCAUAAACCAUGCUGGAGAGGGGAUUCUGGACAUUAUAUAGUCCGAAGAAGUGACUUCUCAUAAACCAUGCUGGAGAGGGAAUUCUGGGCAUUAUAGUCCCAAGAAGUGGCUUCUCAUAAACCAUGCUGGAGAGGGGAUUCUGGACAUUAUAUAGUCCGAAGAAGUGACUUUUCAUAAACCAUGCUGGAGAGGAGAUUCUGGGCAUUAUAGUCCCAAGAAGUGGCUUCUUAUAAACAAUGCUGGAGAGGGGAUUCUGGGCAUUAUAGUCCCAAGAAGCCAUUAUAGUCCCAAGAAGUGACUUCUCAUAAACAGUGCUGGAGAGGGGAUUAUGGACAUUAUAGUCCCAAGAAGCCAUUAUAGUCCCAAUAAGUGACUUCCCAUACACAAUGCUCAGGGGAUUCUGGGCAUUAUAGUCCCAAGAAGUGACUUCUCAUAAACUAUGUUGGAGAGGGGAGUCUGGGAACUGUAGUCCCACAAAGGCAGCUUCCCUGCCUGGAAAGGUGCCAGGAGGCGGGCAAAAGUCAGUGGUCAGUCCUGCCCCCUCUCUCUCUCUGUCUCUUUCUCUCUCCUUCUUUCUCUCUCUUUCCCUCUUUCUCUCUGGCCAUGGAUCCCCCAAAGGAGCCUCAGCCCAAGCCGGAAUCCACCGGAUCAGAGAUCAUCGACCUCUCUUUGGAUGACAUUAUAAAGCGGAACAAGAAAGGCCAGGGCAACCCAAAAGGGAACCGAUGGAGGCAGCCGCUCAAGAACAGGACUCCAUCCUACAGCAACGGGAGACCCAGAUUCCGGCGCUGGAUCCCGGGAAAUCUGCAAGGUAUGGAAAGUUGGUCCGGGCGUGGAAAGAAUUCAACCAAUUACCGUAUAUACUCGAAUAUAAGCCAACCUGAAUAUAAGCUGAGGCAUCUAAUUUUACCACCAAAAAAACUGGGAAAUCAUUGACUCAAGUAUAAGCCGAGAAUGGGAAAUUUCAGAAAUAAAAAUAGAUACCAAAAUUACAUUAAUUGAGGCAUCAGUAGGUUAAAUGUUUUUGAAUGCUUACAUCAAGCUCAAAUUUAAGAUAACUGUCUA
rnacentral:lncRNA from 1 species